AAUUUUAUUUUCACCCGAUAAUCUUUUGGCUUCAUCUACAAUUUCUGUCUUUUUUUAGGUUCUUGUCAUACUGAACUAAUUUAUUUUGAUAUUCUUGCCUACAUUUAGGUUUAAUAAUGUUGAAGAACAACCCAACAUACCUUGUCCAAAGAGGCAUAUUCCAAUUACUAAAAUAGAGCAAAGUAAAGAGGUGCAAUGAUUAGGAAGCUUAUGUGGUCCUCGAUGCCUGCCAUGUGCUCUUACGUUACUCAUUUGCACAAAGAAUGGACUGCUCUAACCACCCAUUUAUGGCAAGUUUCGCCUGUUGAAUGUGGAUGGAUGUUUGUAUUUUGAGUUAACUGUACCUUUUCAGGCCACUGACCGGAUGGCCACCCAUUCGGAUUGCCUUGCACGUUGGUUAUGGGCAGUCCACCUGGUGACCACAAAGCAAUUGUCCUGAUCAUUGUACACAUGUACCACACAUACAAGAAAGGCUUUUCACUUUGCAUCUGAUGAAACUCAAUGGUGUCUAUCUUUGUUGCAUUCUACCUUUGUCUAAUUUUAUUUUUGUUGAUGUUUUUAUUGUGGGUUUUGCCUCUUGUUGGGCUGGUAAUGAUGAGAUGGGCUUAUGGUUUUACGUUGUGGAAACCAUUGUUGCUAAGUUACGGUCCAAAAAUCAGAUUAGUUGAGCAGUCCUAGCCCCUGUUUCGUUGAUGCUUGUUUGUUAAAACCAUUGGAAUUCAUGGUUCUUUAAGUUUCCUACAUUGUCUAAAUAUUACUUUAGCAUUAAAAUGUUAUUUUUCUCUGUAGGAAUUUAUCUUACCUUUAGCAUUAUGUUAUUUCUCUAACUGUUGGAUUUGUUCUGAAAAUUUCCUGCGGGGAAUUGUUUUCACAGUUAGAAUUGUCUAAUCAACACUAUUCAUUUUCUUGAAAAUUUUCUCAAUAGGUCCUACUGACUCUACCUGUAAUCUGACAUAAGCUAUUAUGUAAAAACUUAUGAAUUAGAUCAUAUCAGUAGUUAUCGUAUCAAUCCUUUGAGAUUCCAUUAGCAUGAAUGAUUUUGCAUUGUGCAGCUUGCUUCUUUCUGCAUACUGAGCAAAAAUUCAUUGUAUGAAGAGAUAGGGCCUUCUAAUUCUAACUGGUUGUGAUGCUUGUGUAUAGGUCCGCACCGUGAGAGCAGAGAAGCGCCUGAAUGAGAUAGUGAAUAGGUUGAACAAGACAAAAAGUCAAAAGGAAGCCUGACUUGAAAGGUAUGAUGGUCUAUCCUAGAUUUCAUGUCCGAAGAUCAUAUAAAGAUUGUCUCUUGAUUCUUGAUCUUCCAGUUGAUGAUGCUUGCAUUUAUGAGUCCAUCCUGAAAAUUUUAGUUUGUUAUGUUUUGAAGGGUGAAAACCUUUUUGUUGGCUUUCUUUCAUGGUCAUGUUAGGAAGGCUGUAAAUUGCUAAACAGACUUGUUUAUUUCUGAAAUAUUUCAUGUGGUAUUUCCUUCGACCAUUCCAUUUCUGAAGUUCACUGGGACUGAAUAGACCUCUUCUAAGUUCUCAACCUAUGGCUUCUACAAGCUUCCUGGAAUAUGUCCUGUACUCUAUAUGGGGUUAUAAGCCACUCAUGUCAUGUGCUGUUUAUGGAGCUGAGCGGGAAGCAGUGAAUGUAAAUCCCUCUCCAUCUCUGCUUAUUUGCUGUUUUCCUUUUGCAUCUUUGAGUUUUCUAUUGAAAUUCUAGAUUUCCUGCAGUACAUGGAUAUCGAUGAGGAAUUCCUACAAAGGGUUACGAAGAAUACCUGUCAAUAUCUGGGUAUUUUCUUUCUACAUGCAGUUCUUGUCAAUUUUGGUUUCAAAGAAAGUUUCAUGCCCUUGGAAACUUGUUGAUUGUAAAUAACACCUUCGGAAAUGUGAUUUCAGUGAAGAUCUUAUCGAAAAGUUCUAAAUCUGAGGAACCUUGUAUUGCUUCAGCUGAGGUUUUGGCAAGAUCAGUGGCAUGGCUUGGAAGAGGUCUUUCUUGUGUUUGUGCUCAAAGAGGAGAGAAUGAUGCCCAUUCAUAGUUUGAACUAACCCCUUUGCAGAGGCCACAGUUGGUGAAGGGGAAUAUGCAGCUUUUUUCUAUGGAUCAACAAUGUAGUUAAGCUCUUGAAGCACAUGCUGCAUCAUUUGCUUCACUAAAGGUUGUUGGAAAUGAAAACCCUUCCAUUCUUAUUGCCUUUGCCUCAAGGACCACCAAUGCAGGACAAAUUACAUCAAAGUUACAUGUGAUUGAACUUGGUGCUCAGCCAGGUACUCAUGUGUACCCAUAACAUUUGGACCAUGUUCAGUAGCAUCAAUACUAAACCACCUACUUGAAAUAGCUAGUAAUUGACCAAUGUUUGAUUAUUAUUUUUUAAAUCUUUAGUAGACUCUUGUACUUCAACUGUUGGUGAAUUUGGAGAUCAUCUCUUAUAUGAGAAGCAAUAAAAGAUAAAUGUGAUUUUAAUGGCUGCUUUUUAAGACCAUUUGUGCAAGUGUAAAAGGGGAACCGACUUUUUUUUUUCCAUAUGGGAUGUCACCAUAAUUGACCAUUUGUUUUAAAAUGGAUCAAUGGUUUAAUUGACUUGUAGCACCCAUAGUCAAUUGUAUUGCUGAAAAUGACUAUCAGUUCGGCAGUGCAGCCCACAUAUACUUGUUUUUUCUUGAAAAAAAAAAGAAAAGAAAGAG